rnacentral:rRNA from 1 species
GAUGAACGCUGGCGGCGUGCCUAAUGCAUGCAAGUCGAGCGAACAGAUGAGGAGCUUGCUCCUCUGACGUUAGCGGCGGACGGGUGAGUAACACGUGGAUAACCUACCUAUAAGACUGGGAUAACUUCGGGAAACCGGAGCUAAUACCGGAUAAUAUAUUGAACCGCAUGGUUCAAUAGUGAAAGACGGUUUUGCUGUCACUUAUAGAUGGAUCCGCGCCGCAUUAGCUAGUUGGUACGGUAACGGCUUACCAAGGCAACGAUGCGUAGCCGACCUGAGAGGGUGAUCGGCCACACUGGGACUGAGACACGGUCCAGACUCCUACGGGAGGCAGCAGUAGGGAAUCUUCCGCAAUGGGCGAAAGCCUGACGGAGCAACGCCGCGUGAGGGAAGAAGGUCUUCGGAUCGUAAAACUCUGUUGUUAGGGAAGAACAAAUGUGUAAGUAACUAUGCACGGCUUGACGGUACCGAAUCAGAAAGCCACGGCUAACUACGUG